CCAUUAUGAUAAUUGCAAGUUUGCCUAAACCGCUAGCACACCAAAACGAUUUAUCGUAAAGUCUACAGUUCGUCGACUUACUGCGUGUUCAAAGGUGGCCUGGCUUACAUACAUAGCACGGCGAUCUCCUUUGAAGAUUCACUCCGGCCUAUUUGGACAAAUAUGGGAUUAAAUCAGGAAGACAUUCCUUUGGGCAGCAAAGGAACAGAUGAGUCGUCUGAAGGGAAGCAGUCAUCGCCGCCCAUGGACAUAAGCAACAUCAAAGUAGCAACUUAUGCGUCGAGAACCCAAAAUACCUGCUUCUUGAGCAAAAUCUAAAUUAUGCAGCAGGAAUUGUUACUGCAUGGUAAUAAAAGUGUAUAACAACAUUCCGAUAGAUAUAAGAGAAUGUCCACAACUACUCUUCCUUAGAAAAUUACAUGAAUGGCUUAUGAACGAGCAAUUUUACUCCGUACAAGAAUAUUUGUCGUGUAAAGGUACCUACCAUAAGUCCUUUUACCAAACCAAAAUUUAUCAUACACCGAACAUGCUCUCCUGCCAAAACACAAGAGGGGAAAGCCAGGAAAAAAACAAGUAUACUAUAAAAUGUAUAUAAGCCAGUUAAGUACUUCCAGUACAUAUAAAAGAAUAUCAUGAUCUCCAUAGAAAAAUACGUUACCGACAACUGUAGGUUAAAAACUAUAUGAAAAUCUCAACGACUCAUGUUAUGGCAAAUAUAAAAGUAUAGAUUACGUAUAAUAAGACCUACGCGUCUUUUGCCUGAAUAUAAAUGUAUUUUAAUUUUAAUUAUAGCCACCUUUGUGAACAGUUGAAAACGCUGUAAAAUUGUGUCUACAUAUUUCAUACAACGUAUAAAUGCCUGUGGCGGAGGUUAACCUUAAAGCUACUCUCAAAAUUAUCAUCAAGUAAAAUUAACGUUAGGUAUUUAAAUAGCCGGAGCCAUAAGCAAAAUCAAAGGAAACCAAAUAGAUAGAAAUAAAUAGCAAAACUAAGUCAUUCCUCUAUUAAUAAUUUUACGAAAGCGCCAAACAUAGAUAUUUCGGUAUAUAAAGAUUCCUUUGAUCGGUAUAUCCUUAUUUAACCAUCCAAGAGCUAAUAUAUAUUUUGCUUAAAAUAUAUUUUCAUUUGAGAUUGGGGCGUAACCGUUUUAUUAGGUUGUAAUAAACAUUCUUUGAAGAAUCUUGUUGCAAAUUAACUGUGUGUACAUUUUGAGGAAAGGUGUGGUGGGUACAUUGUUUGAAAGUAUAAAGCAAGUGUAGAAACUAUUGCAAAGCAUGAACAGUCAGCAUCAAAAGUAGCGGAUCAAACAACGCUUCAAAAAUAUGUACAAUUAUGUAACAGCUUAACAAAAAUGUAUGGUUCUAUAAGUAGAACAAUUAAAACUGUAAAAUAUAUACUUUUGACCGUGAAUUUUAGAGAUUUAUCUAUAUUUGGAAAAGUUAUCCGGAAUAUCAGAUACUUUUGGCGCGUUGUUUCAUUCGCUAUUAUUGAUGCUGACUGUACCUGCGCUAAAUGUUGUUAGCUGCUCCGGCUCCAUUCAUUAUUUAGACCAUUGAGUAUAAGAGAGUAUAUUUUUUGUUUGUAAUUUAACGAUUACCUAGGUACCUAACCUAAAUUUUAUAACUUAAAAAAAAUUAUACCUACUGUUGUUACUUACGAGGCUAUACACGUCGAAAAAAUCUUUUUCUAUGUUCUGUACACUAUGGGAUCCAUAUCCAUAUAC